GGCGCGCACCUCACAAGUGCGGCUCAGGAAGAAGGGCUGUGUGGUCUGAGGUUCAAGCCCCCAGGCAGCUCUAGCCUGGUUUAAUUCCAUCUAGCUCCAUUGCUAAUGGCUGUGUGACCUUAGGCCAGACCCCUUCACCUGUCUCACCUCCAUGUCCCCAUCUGUAAGAGGGGAUAAUUCUAUCGCCCCGAGGGGUGCUGUGAAGAUAAAGUAAGCACUCAGGUUUUUGAUGUCUGGUGUUCCAGGCACUCAGCUGGAAGCUGGAAUCCUCUAGAGCUGGAUUCCUGGCGUGGACCUGCUGCCCUGAGGGGGCUUCUAGGGAGCCUCAGUGCCUCUGUUCCCCUGGCGAGAGGGGGCUGCCGUGAGGACUCCUGGAUGGAAGUGCUGGGCCCUUCUCCGGGCUCUGUGCUGAUGGGAUUCAGGAAAUGUCUGUCGCCCCUGCAUCUGGGGUGGGCCCCAGUGCUCAGUGUUCAGCAUGCAGCCCCGGACGCCUGGCCUUUGGUUACCAGCACGCUGGCUGCCUUGGUUUCCCCACCCACUGGGCUGCAGUUGGACUCCUUGCUGAGUCUGCCAGGGUUUUACUGCGACACGGCUUGGCAAGAGCUUGGGCACCAGGCGAGGUUGUUUGUCACGGGUUCUUGAGGAGGCGGGGGGGCAGGUGGCCCCAUGCCAGUGCAGAGCCCACACUCCUCUCGCCAGCUCUGCCGGGCUCAGGCUCAAGUGUGGCUGCUUUAAACGCACCCACCCCAGGGGCCGGUCCCAUGAGCGCUCUCUGCUGUGAUUCAGUGGCGGUUGCUAAGGAAGGCCCAGUACCCGGCCCCUGGGGAGACGCUGCGGCCAGCCUGGCUUCAGCAGACUCGGCAAGGCUUGUACCAGCUACGAGAAAAAUACCCGUCCGUGCUCAGGGUCCUCAGUCCUAAAAUGAAGACAAGGCCGGCUCCAUGGUUCCUGCUGGUUUUGACACACAGUGGUAUGGGGGUGGGGGUGGAGAUUUAGAGAGUAGAGCAAAUGACAAAAAUAAAAAUGAGCUGCACAAAGAGACAACUCUUUGUGUGGAUGUCAACAGCCUCAUGUAAGAUCCUAACUGCAGGAACUCUCUAGAAUGCCUAUUUUGUAUACUGCCACAAGAGUCCUGCAAAGAGUCAACAAUCCCAAGGCAUAAGAACGUGCAGCAGCUUCGUGUUCUGCACACACCAGCCUCCCUGCUUGGGACGCAUCGGUCUGCUGCCCAGCACUCUGGCUCCAUCCAUGCCCCCGACACCAGCCACAGGACAAAGCCGCACGGACAGCUGUUCCCCUGUCCUCAUUUUCACCGGGAGGUGGCUAGACCUUCUGCAUGAGUUGCCUGCUGGUCAGGUUUGGGGAUUACAAGGUAAAUCAGUAAAAAAAGGAAGCCCAGGGCGAUGGUCUCUGGGUCCCAGCACUGUGUCUGAGUGGAAGCAGGCUUGCCGGAAUCCUGCUGGCCAGCUUGCGAGCGGAGAAUCGGCAGGGCGAGGCAUCUUGAUUCAGCUUUUCCUCCAUGCCAGGCACCCCCCUCAAUUUGUUACAUUUAUCCAUCCAUCUCAUCUUCACAACAGCCCCGUGGGGGCGGCAGGGUCAUCAUCCCUGUUUCCGAGCUGGGGAAGCCGAGGGUGCGGUGCUGUUCAGAGGUAUCUAGGAAGUCGCAGGGCCAGGAUUCCAGUCACAGCAAUUUGUCUCCAGAGCCCAGCCCUUAGCCACCUCCCUUCAUUGUCUCCACGGAUUGUUAUGCUCCAGCCUGGCCCAGGUGACACCACGAGUCACCACCUUCCCCACUAUUACCACAGUCAGAAGACUUGUGUCCCUGCCGAGGGCUCGACUGUGACGAGCGCCCGUGGGAACAGGGUGUUUCCUGGGGUCUCCCUGAUAUCGCUGGCUCCGUGAAGUUUCCAGCCGGUGAUUCAUUUGUAUUUGUGCAUUGAUGAAUAAAGGAAAGACACCGGA